GAUGAAGAACGCAGCGAAAUGCGAUACGUAAUGUGAAUUGCAGAAUUCAGUGAAUCAUCGAGUCUUUGAACGCACAUUGCGCCCCCUGGUAUUCCGGGGGGCAUGCCUGUCCGAGCGUCAUUGCUGCCCUCAAGCACGGCUUGUGUGUUGGGCCUCCGUCCUCCUCCCGGGGGACGGGCCCGGAAGGCAGCGGCGGCACCGCGUCCGGUCCUCGAGCGUAUGGGGCUUCGUCACCCGCUCUUGUAGGCCCGGCCGGCGCUUGCCGACACAUCAAUCUUUUUUCCAGGUUGACCUCGGAUCAGGUAGGGAUACCCGCUGAACUUAAGCAUACAAUAAGCGGAGGA
rnacentral:misc_RNA from 1 species